CCCCGAAACUAGGUGAGCUACUUCGAAACAGUUUUAUGAACACACCCAUCUCUGUCGCAAUAGAGUGGAGCGAUUUCCAAGUAGAAGCGACAAACUUACCGCACUUAGAGAUAGCUGGUUACUCAAGAAAAGAAUAUAAGUUCUACCUUAAGUUUUCUGAUUACAAAAAAAGUACAUGAAACUUAAGAGCUAUUCAAAUAAGGCACACCUUAUUUGAAACAGGAUACAACCUACAACAUCGGGUAAAUUCUCCAUACAAAGAAACAAGUAGGCCUAAAAGCAGCCACCUAUAAAAAGCGUCAAAGCUUCAUUCCUAAACUACCUUAAUACCACAAUAAAUCUUCAACCCAUCAUCUAUAUUGAGUAAUUCCAUAAACUUAUGGAAAGUCUAAUGCUAGAACUAGUAACAAGAAUUAUAUUUUCUCCAAAAUGUAAGUAUAAGCCACAAUAGACUGCGCUAUUGGCAAUUAACGCAAAUGCUACUACUAUAAUAACCCCCAACAAGAAAACCCUAUAACCCCCAGCGUCAACCUUACACUAGAACAUUAAUGGAAAGAUUA
rnacentral:rRNA from 1 species